GUUACUACUAAGUUUUCCAUUGUUUCUUGCAAACAAACACCAAUAGAUGUAUAGACUACAAGCACCGGCUCCAUCAUCAGCUGCACACUCCAUUGCAUAGAAUUUGCGUCUGAAAAAUAAAAAAAUUCGCAACAAUAUCGAAUGAGGCCUAAGCAUCGAAGUAAACAGUUAUAACAAAAGAAGAGAGUUUUUAUCUUUUUACAUGUCUGCUCG
rnacentral:lncRNA from 1 species